UGGCUCAGAUUGAACGCUGGCGGCAGGCCUAACACAUGCAAGUCGAACGGAAACAUGUCUAGCUUGCUAGAUGAUGUCGAGUGGCGGACGGGUGAGUAAUACUUAGGAACAUGCCUUUGGGAGGGGGAUAACUAUUGGAAACGAUAGCUAAUACCGCAUGAUGUCUACGGACCAAAGGGGGCUUUUAGCUCCCGCCCAGAGAGUGGCCUAAGCGAGAUUAGCUUGUUGGUGAGGUAAAGGCUCACCAAGGCGACGAUCUCUAGCUGUUCUGAGAGGAAGAUCAGCCACACUGGAACUGAGACACGGUCCAGACUCCUACGGGAGGCAGCAGUGGGGAAUAUUGCACAAUGGGGGAAACCCUGAUGCAGCCAUGCCGCGUGUGUGAAGAAGGCCUUCGGGUUGUAAAGCACUUUCAGUUGUGAGGAAAGGUUUGCGGUUAAUACCCGUAAGCUGUGACGUUAGCAACAGAAGAAGGACCGGCUAACUCCGUGCCAGCAGCCGCGGUAAUACGGAGGGUCCGAGCGUUAAUCGGAAUUACUGGGCGUAAAGCGCACGCAGGCGGUUUGUUAAGCUAGAUGUGAAAGCCCCGGGCUCAACCUGGGAAUAGCAUUUAGAACUGGCAGACUAGAGUCUUGGAGAGGGGAGUGGAAUUUCUGGUGUAGCGGUGAAAUGCGUAGAUAUCAGAAGGAACAUCAGUGGCGAAGGCGACUCCCUGGCCAAAGACUGACGCUCAUGUGCGAAAGUGUGGGUAGCGAAC
rnacentral:rRNA from 1 species